GACAGAGGAUGCAAGCGUUAUCCGGAAUGAUUGGGCGUAAAGCGUCUGUAGGUGGCUUCUUAAGUCCGCUGUCAAAUCCCAGGGCUUAACCCUGGCCAGGCGGUGGAGACUACUAAGCUUGAGUACGGUAGGGGCAGAGGGAAUUUCCGGUGGAGCGGUGAAAUGCGUAGAGAUCGGAAAGAACACCAAGGGCGAAGGCACUCUGCUGGGCCGACACUGACACUGAGAGACGAGAGCUAGGGGAG
rnacentral:rRNA from 1 species